UGACAUAGCACUAAGGUGUGAUCACAAAAU
rnacentral:piRNA from 1 species